AUUCAGUCCUCACCUGCAAGAUGAUGUUUAACUUUAAUUAUUUGCUCAUACUUUCACCGGCCACAAGAGAGCGCUGAAUGUUGUUGUACUAAAACUACUGCAAACUAAGAAUAGGUAAUAAAUAGGGGAUGAGUAUGCAGAUAGUAAAGACACCUAUACGUUUUCGACUGAAGUUAUUGACCAAUAAAUUAUUAUUUGUAAGUUUUUUACAUUACAACGCGACUUGCAAAGUGAAAGCGAAAGUGCAGAUCUUCAUCCGCUCCACUAGGCGGCGCGAGCGGCUUCGCGUCCAGUCUGACUCACAGCUUCAGGUGUUUGUUUGACAACAAGGAGCGCGUGAUGACAGACACCAAAACAAAACGCGUGCAGUUUGAUUUAAAUACACAAUUUACAGAUGACAGCUUAGCGACAGACUCUUAAUGUGUUUAAACAGCACAUAUUCCAGCUCAACAGCGAAUUAAAGCAGCGGAAUCUGCGAUAAAGUGCAGGAAUGGAGUGAAGAGACUCACCUAGUGAAGGUUGUGUUUGGACUGUUCAGCCAACAGAAUCAGAGCUCUGGGACAGUUGACAGCCAUGGACUGUAAGGAUGGACGUCUGCUGCAGGACAGAUCUGUUUCCAGGUCAUGUGCUGGAACUUUUAUUUCACUCUGAUUUUACAACAAGCCUGUGAAGAAAACAUCAACAUGCUGCAGCAGGAUUUGAACCCAAGACUCCAUCAUCAGAGCACAUGUGUUUUACUACUUGCACCACUGUGACUUCACUCCUAGCAUUGGUGUUUUGGACACUUUGUUGAUUUAUUUACAUCAGUUUUUCACAAUCUAAAGAGGGAUUUGUACUCUAGUAUUGAGUGUAGAAGUUGCAGCUGAUUAUCCACUGAGCCACAGAGCCUGUGAGGAGCGUCAGAGACUUUUAAUGCAUUUAUUUUUCAUGCACGACUCAUUUUUGGAUUAAUUUAAAAUGUCUCAUGCAGAAAUAAUCAUUAAUUAAAUUGAUGACACGAACGUCAUUUGUAUAUACCAUUUGUUUAUUCAAGUUAUUUGAAAUAAAGAGUCUCAUUCACCUUGAAGCUUCUUGUGAUCUGAAAGACUUUGAUUAACAGCAUCAGGUGUUAUUGAUCAGGCUGGAGGUGAAAUACUGAAGUGGAUCUUCAGGAUCAGGAUUAGACAAACGCUCGAGACAAGAAAAAGCUCGAUUUAAUUAAUUUUUGAUGUGUUAAUGCAGGUCCUCUUACUGUCCACAAGAUGGAGCUGAAGGACUGACCUGCUCUCAGAGGAAUUCACUAUUUAACAGAUUUAUUUGUCCAAAUAUGCUGUAUGCACUCAACAAUCAGUCAAACUCUACUAGAAAUGCUGCUUGGGUUUGCAAACAGAACUUAAAGUAAACUAAAACAAGUGAACAUCACUUAAUACAGAUGUGAAACAGAUAAACUGCACAGAGAUACAGACUAAACAAGCCUCUGGAAAUAUUUUGUCCUGUUUUGAGUGUUUAAACUUGAGGUUUGGCCAUUUAGCACUAUCUUUACCCCAUCAGCGUGUUCAGCUCCUGAAUAAAUCACUGAUUCGUUUGCAAAUGUACAUAAAUCAAGCCCCAGUUCAAAGUCGUAUAAUACCUAAAGUCUAUCGAGUACACAGAAGCGAAAGUGCAGAUCUUCAUCCGCUCCACUAGGCGGCGCGAGCGGCUUCGCGUCCAGUCUGACUCACAGCUUCAGGUGUUUGUUUGACAACAAGGAGCGCGUGAUGACAGACACCAAAACAAAACGCGUGCAGUUUGAUUUAAAUACACAAUUUACAGAUGACAGCUUAGCGACAGACUCUUAAUGUGUUUAAACAGCACAUAUUCCAGCUCAACAGCGAAUUAAAGCAGCGGAAUCUGCGAUAAAGUGCAGGAAUGGAGUGAAGAGACUCACCUGUAAGUGUCAUUUCUCUUUAAGUCAUUGUUUUGCUUGUAAAGUGACUGACAUGAGCUGUGGAAAAGUCUUUACAUUAUUAUAAUAACCACUGAUAUAUAUUUACUGAGAUGUUGUGAAAGACUCGUCUGUCAGUUUAUUUAUAUUUACAUUAUGAUGGAUGAAAUAUGUUGAACACUGUAAGAUUUUAAAUGAUUUUGAUGGUGUCUUUAAUCUACACUAUAUUACAAGGGGGAUUUGCUAUUUCAACAUGAGCUUGACUGAAGGUUGUCUCAGCUUACAUGAUGAUUAUCAGACUUUGUUUACAUCUUUCUUGCUAUUGUCACUGUCAGACUUUGUUUAUGUAUUUUUUACGAGUAGAAUUAAGAUAUUUAUAUUGUAAAGCAGCAAAAAUCUGGACUCAUGCUUGUAAAAAGUGUCAAUUAAAGAGAUUUUGUAGAGCCGCAGACAGUGUUUAAUACUGUACCUGUCAAAUAGACAAUAUCUAUAUAUCUGUACAUGUGAUCUUCUGUUUAUGAGCUGUUACGUUGAUGAUGAAGUGAUGAACUCUGGUGUUUUAGAUGUGUUUUCUGCUGUUAAGUGUUCAUUUGUGUGUUUCCUCUCCAGAGUGAAGGUUGUGUUUGGACUGUUCAGCCAACAGAAUCAGAGCUCUGGGACAUUUGACAGCCAUGGACUGUAAGGAUGGACGUCUGCUGCAGGACAGAUCUGUUUCCAGGUCAUGUGCUGGAACUUUUAUUUCACUCUGAUUUUACAACAAGCCUGUGAAGAAAACAUCAACAUGCUGCAGCAGGAUUUGAACCCAAGACUCCAUCAUCAGAGAACAUGUGUUUUACUGCUUGCACCACUGUGACUUCACUCCUAGCAUUGGUGUUUUGGACACUUUGUUGAUUUAUUUACAUCAGUUUUUCACAAUCAAAAGAGGGAUUUGUACUCAAGUAUUGAGUGUAGAAGUUGCAGCUGAUUAUCCACUGAGCCACAGAGCCUGUGAGGAGCGGCAGAGACUUUUAAUGCAUUUAUUUUUCAUGCAAGACUAAUUUUUGGAUUAAUUUAAAAUGUCUCAUGCAGAAAUAAUCAUUAAUUAAAUUGAUGACACGAACGUCAUUUGUAUAUACCAUUUGUUUAUUCAAGUUAUUUGAAAUAAAGAGUCUCAUUCACCUUGAAGCUUCUUGUGAUCUGAAAGACUUUGAUUAACAGCAUCAGGUGUUAUUGAUCAGGCUGGAGGUGAAAUACUGAAGUGGAUCUUCAGGAUCAGGAUUAGACAAACGCUCGAGACAAGAAAAAGCUCGAUUUAAUUAAUUUUUGAUGUGUUAAUGCAGGUCCUCUUACUGUCCACAAGAUGGAGCUGAAGGACUGACCUGCUCUCAGAGGAAUUCACUAUUUAACAGAUUUAUUUGUCCAAAUAUGCUGUAUGCACUCAACAAUCAGUCAAACUCUACUAGAAAUGCUGCUUGGGUUUGCAAACAGAACUUAAAGUAAACUAAAACAAGUGAACAUCACUUAAUACAGAUGUGAAACAGAUAAACUGCACAGAGAUACAGACUAAACAAGCCUCUGGAAAUAUUUUGUCCUGUUUUGAGUGUUUAAACUUGAGGUUUGGCCAUUUAGCACUUUCUUUACCCCAUCAGCGUGUUCAGCUCCUGAAUAAAUCAUAGAUUCGUUUGCAAAUGUACAUAAAUCAAGCCCCAGUUCAAAGUCGCAUAAUACCUAAAGUCUAUCGAGUACACAGAAGCGAAAGUGCAGAUCUUCAUCCGCUCCACUAGGCGGCGCGAGCGGCUUCGCGUCCAGUCUGACUCACAGCUUCAGGUGUUUGUUUGACAACAAGGAGCGCGUGAUGACAGACACCAAAACAAAACGCGUGCAGUUUGAUUUAAAUACACAAUUUACAGAUGACAGCUUAGCGACAGACUCUUAAUGUGUUUAAACAGCACAUAUUCCAGCUCAACAGCAAAUUAAAGCAGCGGAAUCUGCGAUAAAGUGCAGGAAUGGAGUGAAGAGACUCACCUAAUGAAGGUUGUGUUUGGACUGUUCAGCCAACAGAAUCAGAGCUCUGGGACAUUUGACAGCCAUGGACUGUAAGGAUGGACGUCUGCUGCAGGACAGGUGAGACCCGCACCUUGUGUUUGAGGUUUGGUGUGUCGGUUACCAUCAUUUUCUUUCUGGAGGGUCGUCCCUCUG